GACGAACGCUGACGGCGUGCUUAACACAUGCAAGUCGAACGGAAAGGCCCUGCUUUUGUGGGGUGCUCGAGUGGCGAACGGGUGGGUAACACGUGAGUAACCUGCCCUUGACUUUGGGAUAACUUCAGGAAACUGGGGCUAAUACCGGAUAGGAGCUCCUGCUGCAUGGUGGGGGUUGGAAAGUUUCGGCGGUUGGGGAUGGACUCGCGGCUUAUCAGCUUGUUGGUGGGGUAGUGGCUUACCAAGGCUUUGACGGGUAGCCGGCCUGAGAGGGUGACCGGCCACAUUGGGACUGAGAUACGGCCCAGACUCCUACGGGAGGCAGCAGUGGGGAAUAUUGCACAAUGGGCGGAAGCCUGAUGCAGCAACGCCGCGUGCGGGAUGACGGCCUUCGGGUUGUAAACCGCUUUCGCCUGUGACGAAGCGUGAGUGACGGUAAUGGGUAAAGAAGCACCGGCUAACUACGUG
rnacentral:rRNA from 1 species